rnacentral:rRNA from 1 species
CAGCAGCCGCGGUAAUACGAAGGGUGCAAGCGUUACUCGGAAUUACUGGGCGUAAAGCGUGCGUAGGUGGCGGUUUAAGUCCGUUGUGAAAGCCCUGGGCUCAACCUGGGAAUUGCAGUGGAUACUGGGUCACUAGAGUGUAGUGGAGGAUAGUGGAAUUUCCGGUGUAGCAGUGAAAUGCGUAGAGAUCGGAAGGAACAUCUGUGGCGAAGGCGACUAUCUGGGCCAACACUGACACUGAGGCACGAAAGCGUGGGGAGCAAACAGGAUUAGAUACCCCCGUAGUCCCUGUCUCUUAUAC